rnacentral:rRNA from 1 species
UACGGAGGGAGCUAGCGUUGUUCGGAAUUACUGGGCGUAAAGCGUGCGCAGGCGGUUAUGUAAGACAGGUGUGAAAUCCCCGGGCUUAACCUGGGAACUGCAUUUGUGACUGCAUAGCUAGAGUACGGUAGAGGGGGAUGGAAUUCCGCGUGUAGCAGUGAAAUGCGUAGAUAUGCGGAGGAACACCGAUGGCGAAGGCAAUCCCCUGGACCUGUACUGACGCUCAUGCACGAAAGCGUGGGGAGCAACAGG